UUGUUGAAAGGGAAGCGCCUAUGACCAGACUUGGGCCCGGUGAAUCAUCCAGCGUUCUCGCUGGUGCACUUUGCCGGGCACAGGCCAGCAUCAGUUUGGUGCGGGGGAUAAAGGCUUUGGGAAUGUGGCUCCCUCGGGAGUGUUAUAGCCCAUUGUGUAAUACCCUGCGCCGGACUGAGGUACGCGCAUUGCAAGGAUGCUGGCGUAAUGGU
rnacentral:rRNA from 1 species